rnacentral:lncRNA from 1 species
CAUGAGCAGUGGCCUGCUAGCACUUGGGAGGUGGGCAUGCGCAGUGCGUUUAUCGGCGUUGUAGGCAUGCUCACCUGACGCAUUCUUCCCUUUUCUGGUGGGGUGUUCCUGGAAAGUCAUAUACCAGUUAAACUCUGACAUUUUCUUUUUCAAUGCACGUACUUGAGCCCGCUUGCCCGAUUCCUGAAAUCUUAUUGGGAAGCUGCAGAUUGCCAGUUCAGGUUCUUUCAAUGAGUAACUGCAAACUCAAACUGGAUGUUCAUAGUGCGAAGAAAGACCCUUGCAAUACAAAGGUGAUUUGAAGGCUGAAUCGAGAGAUGUUUAGUCAUUCAGGAUUCAGGCCGACACACCCCUAAUUUCAAAGGAGGCAGAAAAUCAGGGGGGCGCAUUUAUGCCAAAUACUCAGGAGGCAGAUGGUAAGUAAAAUUUGGUGAAUAAUACUAAUUACUACCCCAGGGGAUAAUGAUAGUAUUCAUGCCAUAGAAUUUUUGUGUGUAUUUAACGAGAUCAUGCUUGGAAAGUACCAAUCACAUAGGAAGUGUUAGCUAUUAAUGAUAGCAAUAAGCAGCUCCAUUUUCUCAAAAG